GAUGAACGCUGGCGGCGUGCCUAAUACAUGCAAGUCGAGCGAAGCGGGGACGGGUGAGUAACACGUGGAUAACCUCCUAUAAGACUGGGAUAACUUCGGGAAACCGGAGCUAAACCGGAAACUUAUAGAUGGAUCCGCACUGAAUUAGCUUGUUGGUAAGGUAACGGCUUACCAAGGCAACGAUGCAUAGCCGACCUGAGAGGGUGAUCUGCCAGACUGGAACUGAGCCACGGUCCAGCCUCCUACGGGAGGCAGCAGUAGGGAAUAUUCCGCAAUGGGCGAAAGCCUGACGGAGCAAAGCCGCGUGAGUGAUGGAGGUCUUCGGAUCGUAAAACUCUGUUAUUGGGGAAGCGGUACCUAAUCAGAAAGCCACGGCUAACUACGUGCCAGCAGCCGCGGUAAUUC
rnacentral:rRNA from 1 species